CCAUUCUAGAGACGGUGGAGGGCAGAGAGAAAUGACAUGGAACUAACCUUAAGGAAUGCACUAUCUAGCCAGGAGACAGACAUACAGCCAAAUAUGUAAGACAGUGGGAUAACUCUAGCGGAACAGUUGUGUGCUGGAACCAGCUAGCCAGAGCCCAUCUCUGUAGUGAGUGUGCAUCUCUUCCCAAGUCUGCUUUUAGCAUCUUCACAUUCAUGGCUUGAAGGUGGCCAUGGUGGGAGUAUUUACACCACAGAAAUCAGCAAAUGCUAUGCAUCAGGGCCCUAGGAAGGCCAAUUAUGAAACACCAGCAUAUGACUGGAUAGAAGGUGUCAGAGAAAAGGUCUAUAUUCUUACUUACUGAGGCACUGUGCUAGUGACACUGCAAUGAAUGACUGCAUCCUCCUCUCAGAGCUCACAGCUUAGAGACCUUGUGUUAAGUGUGAUGACCUGGAAGUACAAAAAGUAAGUAGGAGGGACUUGACCU
rnacentral:lncRNA from 1 species